CUAGCCCUAAACGAUGAUCGCUUGGUGUAUUGGGUACCCAAUCCCAAUGUGCCGGAGCUAACGCGUUAAGCGAUCCGCCUGGGGAGUACGGUCGCAAGACUGAAACUCAAAGGAAUUGACGGGGGCCCGCACAAGCGGUGGAGCAUGUGGUUCAAUUCGACGCAACGCGAAGAACCUUACCUGGGCUCGAAAUGCAGUGGAUCGGGGUGGAAACAUCCCUUCCCGCAAGGGCUGCUGUAUAGGUGCUGCAUGGCUGGGCAACUAACGUGUCGGGUGUUGUUCGCG
rnacentral:rRNA from 1 species